UACAGAGGGUGCAGGCGUUGUUCGGAAUCAUUGGGCGUAAAGGGCGUGUAGGCGGUCUGUUAAGUCAUGUGUGAAAUCCCCGGGCUCAACCUGGGAAUUGCGCAUGAUACUGCGGCGCUUGAAGACGGGAGAGGAUGGCGGAAUUCCCAGUGUAGAGGUGAAAUUCGUAGAUAUUGGGAAGAACACCGGUGGCGAAGGCGGCCAUCUGGCCCGUAAUUGACGCUGAGGCGCGAAAGCGUGGGGAGCAAACAGG
rnacentral:rRNA from 1 species